UGUAGAUUGACAGAAUGUGUCAAUUGGAAGGAAUAUUCAAGUGUCUCUAAUCCAACCUUGUUUUAUAGAUUGAUUAUCAAAUUGAUUCUCAGAAGAGGUAACAUGGUAAAACCUGGACUAGAUCUCACAUCUAUAGAUGCUAAGUCCUGGUGUCUUUCCUCCACGCUGUCUCUUUGAUUCUGUCAUUUAUUAUGUCAGUGAAUUGUUUUGGCAAGCUUUAGUGGCUUUGUAUUUAAACUUCUGCCAAAGUACAAUUGCAGUUACUAUGAAUACUAUAUAUAUGAUACUUCUCCAUAUAUAUAUAUAUAUAUAUAUAUAUGUGUGUGUGUGUGUGUGUGUGUAUACAUAUAUAUAUGGAUAUAUAUACAUAUAUACACGCAUUAUACUAAUACAUACUAUAUUAUAUAUAAUGUGUGGAAUAUAAUAUAGUAUGUAGUAUAUGUGUGUGUGUACUAUGUAUGAUAUACGCAUCAUACAAACUAUAUAAAUGCUUGUUUAAGUAUCGCUAAGUUCAAGACACCACUCUAUUACUGUGUUUCAAAAAAAAGUUCAAAAAAAUCCUAUUUGAAGCCUGUUUCAGUUAUUAAGUCUCUCAAACAUUUAUCUUUUGUUUAUUGACAUGGGCCUCCCAGAUUUCCGUUCCUUUUGUUCAACUGUAGUAAAUUUGGCAUUAAAAGAUGAUAUUCUAUCCUUGCUUCCUUUAUAGAGUUGCACCAAAGUCAAUGAGACUUUUACACAAAAAUCAAGGAUACGUUAUGAUCUCGGAGUACUCACUUAAAGACUGUAGAACAGACCCACAAGACUAAGUUCAGUGCCUGGUAAGGGGUUCGUGCUAAAUUUAACAUUGCAGAAGAGUUUCCAGCUGUUGGCUUGAUAUGAAUGAGGAGAGCUGCUUUUAUGACUGAUUACUGUCCUCGGGAGGAAGAGGGAAGCAGAGUGAUUCUACAUCACCAAUCCACAGAGUGCUGUGCAUAUUCUGUGGCAUUGAUUUGAGGAGGCUCAUGACUUUAAUGCCUCCCUUUAUCAGUUGUCAUGACUCUAGGCUUUGAACAUUCUAAAACCCAGGAAGAGAAGAACAGGAAUAUGUAUAACUUUAGAUGUAGAAAAUACUAGGAUAAAGUAAAAUUACCCUUUUUUAAUUUCAUGGUGGUAAGUCACUUGUGGUUUGUCACUCUCAGUAAAGUAACCCAACUAGACUUUAUUUGCCAGCUGUACUUAAAGAUCUUGGUUUUAUGUUUUUAAAAAUGUCAUCUAUUCCUUCAAUCACUUGUAAGUCCCCUGUAAUCUCUUUUUAAUGUAAGCACACUGGAGUUUUCUCUUUUGUUUGCUGCCCUUGCAUUAUUUACUUUGAUCUGCUGUGAGAAAAUCCGAAAGUGUGUUGUCCUAAAUGCUAGCAUCUCACCAACAAGAUUUGAGGCCUUGUAGUUUGCAUUGAAGAAAAAGGCUCUUGUGUGAAGACGCAGGUUUUGUUUAGUUCUCUCUCCCUGGUGGGAGCCUUAAUUGCAUUUUCUCUCUCUCACAGUGGCUGGCUAAGGAGUGCCUGCCUUCCCUGCUGAUGCUGAAGUUUUCAAGCUCUAUUACUCUGUGACGGAGAAAAUUCCUUGGUCCAGGAAGAAAAGGGUCAGAUUUAAAAAAAAAAAAAAUGUGUUUAAAUAAGUAUUGUCAAUUUACUGUGCACAAUUAACAAAAAGAAGAAGAAACAAUAGAAAAGCUUAAUGUUUUUCCCCCUAAAAAUCUUAUAGAAGCUUUAUGUAACCCAAUUUAUAAAAUAUCCAGUUCUAAAUAUAAAAGGCUCAGUCCUUAGGGCAAAGAGGUUAGACUUAAUAAUAACCAGUAAAUGCCCCCCCCCCCCCCCCCCACAAUAGCAUUAAUCUGUGUCCUUUCUUAGCCAUUCUGAAAAGUUCUCUGUAAGUCCGUCUGCAUAUGUGAUUAAAAUGUGUAGUCCAGGUUAUUUCUGGAGUUAGUACUAAGCACUGACAUAUAUGCCAUUUUCAGUUAAGUUACAAAGAUCUAAUUUUAUUAACCUUUUAACUUUCUAUUUUGACUUUCUGAGUGUACAAGCGAUAUGCUUAAAUCAUUACUACUGAAAAGAAUAUUUUAAUUUUCUUCUCAUCUGACAAAGUAUACUUCCCCUUAACUGGCUUUGAGGCUGUACUUGCCAUGUCUGCUUCCACUUUCUGUAUUUCUCGUCAUGAUGGGACGCAAGGCAAUCACAGCAUCUACGUAACAUUUUCAAUUGCAAAGCAUCUUCAACACGGAAACUAUACUGAUCUACAUUCACAAUAAUGCUUGUUUAUUGUUUGAGAGUUAAAUGUUUUUAUGCACAUAUACAUAAACUAAUUGUGUUGUUUGAAAAGUACGGCUUGUUAUUCUACUCAAAUGGAUUACUCAAGUAAAAAAUUUUAUUGGGCAAGAUCUUAUUUUAUCCUAUUGCUUACUUCUAGACCUUGGUAUGUUAGGCUUUCUGCUGACUUCUUAACUUUCUCAUGCAUCAGCUGUGUUCCUUCUCUUCUUUUUUUCCCUUCUCCCGUAACCUCCUUAUAUUCUCACCUGCCCUGUUCUAAGCCAUUAUUCAACAAUGUCUCCCCUCAUGCUACUCUCUGAAUGGUCUGAUCUCUGCUACUUGUUUGCAAGUGAUCUGAGAGAGGGCCCAUCUUGUCUAGGGAUAAAAGUGGGGUUUUCUGAUGGAUCGUUGGGUAGACAGUGGAAAGAUUCAUUGGUAGAAAUAGCAUGGGAUUAGUUGCUUGAGAACAGAGCAAGAGAGAAUGGAAAAGUUAGAAAGCUAAGUAGGUGAAUAGUAGAAAGAUGCUAAGCAGAAAACGUGAAGACACCUUUCUUGAGGUUGGGAUUAAGGAUUUUAGCUCUGACCAUACUCUCCCAUUAGUAAUCACUGGGCCUUUCAGGCUUUGUGCAAUGAGCUGAACCCAGUCAACAGAAUCUUUUCAACUAUAUUGAAAAGCAGUGAUCCAACACAUGAAGUGAAAACAUCUCCUUGAUACAAGAGUACACACGGCUUUAGAACACAUUAACAUUAUAAGACAGAUAUGAUUGUCAUUAAAAACAGCAUCAGGAAGCCUAUGUCUUGCUUUAUUAUCUUCAAACUGGUUAGCAAUGUAAAGAGAACCUUCUAAAAACUAAUUUAAAUGCAUAAUAUACAUUUGAACAUGGGGCACUUUUUUGGGUUAGUUUCAGGAUGGUGAUUUUUAAAUGUUUACAGCAAUCACGUUUGAGUGCUAAGAGGAUUUUUUUUUUUUUCACUGAAUGGUUCACUGGCAGAUGACAUAGAGAGACAUACUCCCAUAAUUUUGUUCUUCCUAAUCAGUGAAAAAUAAAAUGGAAGAAAGUUACAAAGACAUUAUAGGAUUUCUUAAUAAUUUUAAGGACCAUUAUAUAUGUUUAAUUUUGAGAAUUCAAGAGCUAAUGUAUCCUUAUUAAUUUUUUGUUCAGAAUAUUCUCAUAUUUUAGAACUGUCAAAAUUGGAAAUAAGGAAUAAAGUACAUUUUUUAGACAGUUCAAAGCACUCUGUUAGCAUAUUUUAUAUCCCUUGAAUCCCAUUAUGUGUUUUUAUAAAUACUUCUUAGAGUUUAUUCUUUUUCUAUUUAUUGUCACCUCUACUUGAAAAAUUGUCAGUUAGGAUCUAUACAUAGCUGAAAUCUUAGGACAGGUCUAGAUAAUUCAGCAAGUGGCUAUUCUCUUCAUCAGCACAUUUUAUUAUGGUAGAAAUUCUCUAUGAUGAAGGCUAAGGAACCUGAUUAUUUUUUUAAAUAGGUCAAGAAAUGGAUCAGAAAAUCUGCAGGGGAUUUAUCUCUGUUUCUAGUACUCCGUAAUGACAAAACUUUCUUUGGCUAAUGAGCAUGUCUAGAUGAAUUCAAAUAUAUGGAGAAAAGAGUAGAAGCGGCAGUGGACUUCUAAGAGAAUUGGUAUAAUUGCAGUGAUUGAAUUCAAAAGAUUCUAAAUAGUUUGAAAGGAGUGAAAAGUGACAGGUUAGUUAAACCAAAUAUGCUCUAUUUUCUUAUAAGAAUGGGUAUAAAUCACAUGAACAUAAAAGAACAUACACCAUUUUGUGCACCAAUUCAGAACUAAAAAAAUGAAACUCCUGACAACAUUCUGGCCUUAAAAUUUCCUACUUUCUCUCUCUUACAUGAGUGCCAUAUUUGUUCCACCUUUAUUCUGGGGCUACGUUUAACCAUUUAUUCAUUUUUUAUGCACUGACUUCUUGAAACACUGUUUAUUGAGCACUUAAAUGGGGCAGGUGCUGUCUGGCCUACAAAGUGAAGUUCUAGUAGUCAAAAACAUCUUAAACAUAAGAGAUUGGACAAAGAUAGUUUUUACGUAUAAUAAGCUAUUUAUUCAUUAAGAUACCUGAUAUCACCAUUAUAAACCCAAAUAUUGUGCCAAGAUACAUGUCACCUUCAAGAAAAAUUCAAAACCACUAUGCUGUUGUCCUGAAGUUCUUACUUUCAUGCUAAUACUUUUUUUUUUAACUUUGGGUUUUAUUACUUUACCUUGCAGAAUCUAUACUCCAUCAUCUAGGAUAAGGGCCAACCUUAUGUUAUUCAGUCAAUACAGUAGAGAUAAUAUUAUCCUGUUUCCAUUUUUAUGCCUCUCAAAAGGAAAAAAAAAUCCUUAAAUAUAAUCUAAACUACGUUUUGUGUCUUUCUUUUAUAUUUUCAUCCAUUCAUUCUUUAAAUGCCAGCCCCAGUGACACUUUCUCUGUGAAACUCUCCUUGCCCAAUCACUGAGCAAGAGUCAAGUAUAGCAUAGAAAGGCAUUUAAAUUUCAAUUACUCCUCUUAUAAUCCAUUGUAACCAUUCAUUCUCUUGUGCCCUUUCUACUAAAGGCUGUGUGUGCACUUGGAGGGCAUGUACUGUCUGUUAUCAUCUCUGUAUUCUGGUUACCUUGGCACAAUAUCUAAGCCAUAACAGCUCAGUAGAUAUUUCUUGAAUUAAUUUAAUCCUCUUAUAAUUACUGUUUAAACUCUUUUAUCUUACAUCUUUGGGACCUCUGUCUAUCCUUUGAUAGGAAAAUAAAAGCAGAGGUCUUGAUCUUGUUUUUAUACAAUACUAAAUAAAUCUCAGCUCUUUCUUGUCUGUAGGAAAAUGUAAAAUCCCAUUCCUAAGACUUAAUUUGAAAAUUUGGGUUUAGAAUGAGAAUACAAAUUGAGAGCGAUUAGCUGGUUUGCAUUAUUUUCUGUUGGUCUUUUGUUGUCUUUCAUUUUUUUUUUUUUUCAGGAAAGCAUCACUAAGAAUCGAAUUUAGGUAUUUUUACAGUUGGCUGUUAGAUUCAGGAAUCUGUUAACAUGUCCUAAUCUUUCUGCUAUUAUCAUAACUUCUUCCUGUGCAAGUACAUGGGAACAUGUGCAUGUACGUCAGUAGGUAUGCAUGCAUGUGUGUGCACGUGUGUGUGAGCGUGUGUGUAUGUAUGUGUAGCCACUGACUAGUCUUCUGAAGCAACACCUUUAUUAUCUUUGUUCUUAUCUUCCACUGUCAACUCCAGUCUCUUCUUCUUAAUCCUUCCUGUGAAAAUGGCUUGAAGGAUUUUGAGAAAGUUUUGUUUCGUGUAAUUUUGGUAGAGGCAGUUCUCUUACUUGGAAUAAACUAGAUAAAAUAAUUUGACUGUGGUUAACAAAUCCAUACCCCCACUUACCAGAACUAUAAGCCAGCCAUAGCAUGAGCUGUUAAUACAUAUUUUUGCACUAUGAAAAUUUCAGAUAGGCAGUAAUAACUAUCACAAAUAAAUAUCUCAUUCUUUGAUUUUCCAAGAUUAUUUGGUAGGAGAGGGAGACUAAGAAAUUAAGUCCAAUUCAUACACAUUGAGGGGAAAGGGAUGUACAGAGAUAAAUAAGACAGUCUAUAUGAUUUUUAUGGGAGAUUUGUAACUAUACUAAUAACUGUAAUUCAAAGCAUUAUUUGGUACAAAUGUUACCAACAUUACAAGUAAUUAGGCACUGAAACAAUUAGAAGGAUAAGAAAGUAUUUAUUUUCUAAUGACAUGUUGUUUAAGAUGGGUUUUGGGGAAUAGGAGGAAAAGACAUGGUUGGAGUGUGUCCGUUUUGCCAGAAAUGUAAGAAUUUGAGGAUGAUGCUGUAGUUAAGAUGUUAGGGACAACUUUGUUGAGCAGUAAGUAUAUGGUUGAGAAACUGGUACUUGCCCUGGUAAGCAGUGUGGUGCCAUUGAAACUUUCUGAAGAUGGUAUGAUCUGAUCCAGUUCAACCUUUAAGAACACCUACGUAAAAGGUUCAUAAGCUUUUUGUAUGACCUAUUUCAGAAAACAGAAAAACAAAAACAAAAACAAAAAAAAAACCAAACCUGAGGAAAUGCUAUAGUAAACUGAGGUUGCCGUCUUGUCUUGGAAACAGUCUGUUCAGUCCAGAUAGAGAUUUUCAACCAUACAAAUUUGUUGUCAAAUUUAGAGUAGGAUUUUUAAACAAAAAUCCAUAGAAGAAUUCUAAAGCUCUGGCCUCUACAUUGGCAUGGCAACAAUUGUCUAGAGGUGAGUCGUAGUUUGCUUCUUUUCUGUGGUACCUGUGUGCUGGUUCAUAUCAGUCAUCAUAAGGUCUGGAUGUUUCCUGCUUGGUUCUUGAAGCAUUUAUUAUAACCUAAUGAACAAAAAAAGAAGCGAGAUAUUGAUCUGGUAAAAUGGUACCAUAUUGGAGCUGUCUGUUGUGGUAUUCAUCAUGCUGUCACAUCCCGAGUGCCUUGGAGUUAUUGGAAAGUGGAAUUGAGAGAGUUCUGUCAUUUGGUGUGGCAAUCCAUUCACAGGACAGUCACUACAAUAUUUGCAAUGGUUUGCUUAUUUUUCUAGCCAGGCUACCUUCAUCUUGAGUAACAAGAAGGCCUUCCUAUUAUCCCAUGCAUAGUAGUAUUAAUAGGUCACAUGUAACUGUUCUCUAGCUUGUCUUACUGGGAUAACAUGACUCUUUUUCUAAGUCAGUGCUCACACUUGCUGCCUGUCCCUGCACUCAUGAUGCACUGGGUUCAUUCCUAUGGGACCAGUAUAUCUGAGUGUGGCUUCAAGCCCCUUAUGCUUUUAUCUGAUGGUGGUGAGGAGGUAAAAGAUGAACUUUUAUAUGUAGAAAGCUUUUAGUUUCUUCCCACACUAAAAUAUCAGUUAAUGUUAAAAGAGCUUUCAAAAGUAUAAAAAGAUACUGUCAAUCUUCAAUGACUAGAUUAAAGAGUUUGAAUGAAUUAUUUUUGUUUU